AGUUGGAAACGACUGUUAAUACCGCAUAAUGUCUACGGACCAAAGUGUGGGACCUUCGGGCCACAUGCUAUCGGAUGCGCCUACGUGGGAUUAGCUAGUUGGUGAGGUAAUGGCUCACCAAGGCGACGAUCUCUAGCUGGUUUGAGAGGAUGAUCAGCCACACUGGAACUGAGACACGGUCCAGACUCCUACGGGAGGCAGCAGUGGGGAAUAUUGGACAAUGGGCGCAAGCCUGAUCCAGCCAUGCCGCGUGUGUGAAGAAGGCCUUCGGGUUGUAAAGCACUUUCAGCGAGGAGGAAGGGUUGUGUGUUAAUAGCACGCAAUUUUGACGUUACUCGCAGAAGAAGCACCGGCUAACUCUGUGCCAGCAGCCGCGGUAAUACAGAGGGUGCAAGCGUUAAUCGGAAUUACUGGGCGUAAAGCGCACGCAGGCGGUUGGUUAAGUCAGAUGUGAAAGCCCCGGGCUCAACCUGGGAAUUGCAUUUGAAACUGGCCAACUAGAGUAUGUGAG
rnacentral:rRNA from 1 species